CGGUGCGCAGUCCCUUUUGCUUAAUCAAUUUUCUUUGUAGGUGUUUAGUGUAAUGGAGGUAUUUUAUGUUCAUGAAAUUAUUUAGUGUCCUGACUUUUCUGAUGUUUAAUAAGCCAUUAUGACUUUAUUUAACGCGCAGUUGUUAACAAAAACUAUAAACUUUCACGGUCAGCAAAUUCAAAAACUGUGGGAAAGUGAAUACGGUGAACAUGACUUGGUCAGAAGAAAUAUUAAGGACCUGAAUUUUCACGUUUAUGGGCAACGUCAAAAGAGUUUAUCAUUCCAGGAUCGAGGUAAACGUUUAAAAUUGCAGCAAUUUAUAGUAAAAAAAGCAGAUUUAAUAUUUACCAUGUUACCAUCGCCUCCCAAGCUUAGUAGCGACCUUGAAGUCACAGAAGACAUGUAUGCAAUUACACCGCCAUUUGAAAUAUAUGUUAAUGCUGAACGCCAAAAACGAUUACAGUUUUUUACAGAAAAUGUUAAGAUAGGUGAUUUAAUUUUGGGAACAAUUGUUAGCAAGCAACAAUCUGGAAUGAUGCUAAAAGUUCUUUGUACUACAGGAAAUGAUGGUAUCAAAUAUGCAGCAGAUAUUAAUAUUAAAGCUUUUUGUCCAGUUGCUAAUGUUAUUCCUGCUGUUGAUAAAAAGGGUGUUUCACGAAGUUAUAUGAUGAAUGACUAUGUUUGUUGUGAGGUAUUGGAGGUGAUUGCUGACACAGACAAAAUGGUAUGUGGUAUGAAAGGAGUUACCAGAAAACCUGGUGAGAGUGAUCCGCACCCACCUUUGGGUCUUAUCAGCACCGAUGAUUUUCCUUUGGUUUAUAAAAAAUCACUUGAUCACAAGAAUGAAAGUUUCGACUCUGUAUUAGAAAAGAGUAUUGGUUUUAAUAAUCCCAACAACAUACAAUUCUUAUCAGAACACAUGGGUGUCUCUGACCACAUUUCAAUAAUGAAUGGAUUAAAAUCUCGGUUUCCAGAAAAUGAGUAUGCUGUUGAAUUACGUCAAAUUCAAGCAAGUAAAUGGGCUUACCGUAAUGUAGCUGAUGGAAUAGACCAUUUUAAAGCUGGCAAACAUGUAGAAGCAUUUCAAUGUCUUAAUAAAGCCCUUAAUAUUGAUCCCAGGAAUGUGGAAGGUUUAGUUGCUCGUGGUGCAUUAUAUGCCAAUAGUGGAAAUUUCCAAAAAGCUAUUGAAGAUUUUGAAACAGCUUUAAAGUUAAAUCCCAGCCAUGCUAAUGCACGUAAAUACAUGGGAGAAACUCUGGUUGCAUUAGGAAGAAGCUAUGAGGAAGAAAAUAAUAUAGAAGAAGCUCGGAAGGCCUAUCAAAGCUGCUUGAGUAUCAUUCCUUAUCAUGAAGAAGCAAAGAAUUCCCUGGAAUUUCUGAAGAACAAAGAAAAGCAAGCCAGCAAAAACUUGAUAGAACCAGGCGAGUUGUUACUUCCCAACUUACCAUCUGUUUCAAAACAAACUACCAAUGUAAAUGAUGCAUUGAAGCAACUUUUGAAAGAUGAAGAGGCAGAAAAGAAAGAGAAAAAGAAGAAAAAGAAAACCAAAAAACGUAAAAAUAAGAGGCAUUCAAGUUCUAGCUCUAGCUCAAGCUCCUCAGGUAGCGGUGAUAGCUCUUCUAGUUCUUCUAGCAGUAGCAGUGAAUCUUCAUCCUCGAGCGGUGAUUCUGAGUUUAAAAAGCGGAAGAAACAUCGUUCACGUUCCCACCGCCGUGAAAAACAUGAAAAUUCUUUAAGUCCUUUAAGCAAACGAAUGGCAAUGAUGGAUGCCCAGUCCCAGGAUGCGAACAAUUUCAAUUUCAAUAAACCAGCGUCUAGUGCAUUUGAUUUUAGUUUUGAAGAACCUCAGAAACCGAAACCAAUAGCUGAAUUGGACUAUGAAAAUAAGGUUAAGACAUUUCUAUUGGAGACGAAGGAUGAUUCAGAUUAUGAGGCAAAAGUACGGAAGUUCCUAGAAGAAAGUGCAAAAUGGAAGAAGGGUAAAUCAGAUGAUAAGAAGAAGAAGAAAAAGAAGGACAAGAAAGUUAAAAAGGAAAGCAAAAAAAAGAAGAGGAAGGAAAAAGAAAAACUGAAACGGAAAUCUUUAGAUUUGGACUUGGAUGACCAUAAGAAACUUCGAGAUGCUAUUAAAAAAGAACUCAGUAAAGAGAAGAAAAAGAAACAUAGCAUUCACUCAGAUGAUGAAGAAUACUUUUUAAAGUCUGGGUAUUCAAAAAGAUUUAUUGAAAGUCUACCUGAUUUAGAAGAGCUUGAAUCCAAAUUGAAUGCAUAUUAUGCAUUGGAAAAAGAAAGUAAAAGAAGUGAAAUAAGCGAAUCACCCAAACAUUCAAUGUUGGAUUCGCCAUCUCCAACAAGAGAACAAAAAGCAAGGCAAGCAGUGGCUGAGGCAGCAGCUUCUGCUGGUAAAUGGAAAAUGCAUAUUGGACCGCCAUCCCAGGCAGCUUCUCGAUUUAAGAAAAAACAAUCAGAAAGACCUCCCUCUCCUGAGUGGCAUUCAGAGUCUGCUCCAGAAAAGAUGAAAUUGAAAAAUAGCAAUACUGGUUCAAGUAGUUUUGAUGAACCCUCUUCCUCCAAACGAACCCCACUGCCUCCACCGCAACCAGCAGAAAAGGCAGUAAGUGUACGCAAGCAAAUGGCUAUGAAGGAACCUCCACCAAAAAGAUCAGAUUCUCCAAAGAAAAUGAAGCCAAUGGCAGUACCACCGUUACCGCCGGGUCCAAAAAUUCCACAAGGACAAGUAGUUUUAGACAAAUUCGGCAAUUUUAGAUUGAUGACACCUCCAGAAAUGAAGAAAAGUCAUGACUUAGGCCAAUUACUGGCAGGACGACGCCCGCCCGAGCCUCCUGGUAGACCCCGUUCAGAUAGCCGAUCUCCAAAGCGCAGAAGCCGUUCUCGAUCCAAAUUUAGCAGAUCUCGUAGUACGAGUAUGUCCAGAAGUCGAUCGAGAAGCUAUAAUUCCAGGUCUCGCAGUUACUAUUCACGCAGUCGUUCACGCUCUGGUUCAUAUUAUUCUAGAAGUCGCUCUAGGUCACGCAGUUAUUCGGGAGAACGAAGAUUUAGGAGACGAGGUGGAUUCCGUGGAGGUAAAUAUUUUUCUGGUAAUUUGUUAGAAAUAAAAAAAGUGAUAUUCUAUCUGUUUGAAAGUGUUUUAAAACAACCUUGGAAAGAUAAUAUCAAAUGCCAAAAAAAACAGUAAAACCUAACUAAUCGGGAUUUAAAAAAGAGGCCCCCAUAAGAUUUUUUUUGUAUUAAAGUGUGGCUCCCCACAUAUCUUGUUUAUCUUGGUAAAAUAUCAAAUUUAUUUUCAAAAAAUUUUUUUGUUAUAAAAAUAUCAAGAACUGUAUCAAGAAACAAAUUACAAAAGUGCAAAAGUUCCUUGCUUUUUCUCAAGAUACAUCAGAGCAACAUCAAUUUAAAAAAUAAUUUUGUUUUAAACUCUUAUUAACAAAACAAUGGAUUGGGAAGGUUUUCACGAGAAAAAAUAGUAAGCAGGUAUUAAUAAAACUCACCUACAAUUAGCUUAAUUAUUAGUUCAUUUUACCAUAUUAACGACAGUUUUAAUCAAAUUGUAAAAGCUGCAAACUUCAGAUUGACUAAAACUAUGCUGCUAUAGUACUUACUUUUGCUAUUAAACUAUUUUAUUAAAUCUGGGUAAAAAUAUAUAAUAAUAAUAUUAUUAUAACUUUGUUGAUAAUGAAAUGUUUACUAUUUGAUGAUUGAUUUGGGAAAAAAAGAAUGACUAUACAUUUUGAUUAAUUUUUACUCAAAUACAGUUUUUGAAUUUUGUAUUGUGUGAUUGCGUUGACGUCAAUUGCAGUGCUUAUUGUGGUCUGAAUUGUUCUCGAUUGGUGAAACUUUUCUGUUAUACAAAUGGAAUUCACACUGCGUAAAGAUACAUUUUUCAUACUUUACCGUAAAGAUACAUUUUUCAUACAUUACCCAAAGUUUAUUCAAUCUCGGUUAUUCAAUUAGUAACGCAGAUGUGCUAGAACAAAAUAGAAUUAAAACUAUUGGCUUUAUGAUUUCUAGUUGUGUAUUGGUAUCUUAGCUUCUGGUGAUGUGUUUUUAACAUGCAAAAAAAUACUAUACCUAUUCAGGUAUGUUAUUUUUGAUAGAAGUGAUAGAAGUUUCAGUAUUUGGAAAAUACUGGGAAAGUUUGUGAUUAUAAGUAAGGAGCGGAAAAUGCAGAUAUGCAUUUUUAUUAUAUGAAAAAUUAUGAAUAUUAAUGUUAUUGUAUAUAAACUCAGAAUCAUUUCUUUAUAAUUAAACCUGCUCUUCCAAAAUUAUAUAAUUUUUUAUCUAUUCCAUAGAAUAUUUGAAUAAAUAUAAGUGAUACAAAAAAAAAUCUUCAAAGUUUUUUUUUUUGAUUUUUAUUUAAUCCUUAGCAAAUUCAAAACAUAAGUCUUUCAGUGACAAUAACAAACAAUAUUAUUUGCGAUUAUAAAACAAUUAAUAAUUUAACAAUACCAUUGAUACAUUCUGAUAUUAGCAACUUGCACAACAUACAAUUCGUAAAUUUACAAACUAUUCUUCACAGUUAUUUACAGUUUGCUUGUAAGUGACAUCAACUAUCUUUACGUACAGUUGACUCGUCCUGUAAGUUAAAUUUACAAUAUUUUGUGAAAAAUUAUCCUAAAUUGGAGAUAGCUGGUUUUUUAAGUGAUAUAUUAGCUCCAAUAAAUGCCUGACAUAAGUCCUCAUUGAACUGGGGAUGUUCGCUGUUUUUUGGUUUUCUUCAAUAUAAUUUUAAAUUGCUGUUUUAUUGAUUUGACAUCCACAAUCAAUUUUUGAUCUGCAUGAAUCUUUACAAUUCAAAAAAGGAUUUUUACAUUUAAAAAAAAACAAUUUUAAUAAAAUGUUCCCUAUUUCCUACAAAUAAAAUAUUUUAGUUGAAAACUUAACAUUAGCUAUAAUAUAAUUUACUUUAUCAAAGGCACGGUGUUGUCGAAACAAUUGUCUUGUCAAAAUAUAUAAUUUCAUGAAAAUCUGAACUUUUGGUUCUUAUUUAUUUUGAUAUAGAAGUUAGUUUUCGGCAUUUUAACAAGCACUGGACAGACAGAACCAGACACAAUUCAGUUCAACAAGGCAAGGAAGUAAACGAUACCAAAGAGAUUAGAAAUUGCAACCCUUUUGAACUAUCGGAUUCUGUUUGCAAUAUCGUUUCAAUAAUUUAACAAAGAACCUUUUGCUUUUACUGGGAAUACCCUAUUAUGUAGGUUUAUCCUGGAUAAUUAUAUGAAGUUCUUCAUAUAUAAGAAAGCAGUAAAGUACAGUCAAGGAGGGUCGGACAGGGUCUUUAUUUGGCAAUAAAAUGCAAUAACUUCCCUAGUAUUAAAAAAAAUGCAUGUUUUGUACAAAGCAGACAAAAAAAUGCACUUUGCAUUUUCUCCGCUCCUUAAUUAUAUUACAUUUAUUUAAUUUCGUGGGUUACUAAACUGAACAUUAAAAUAAAUCCAGCUGGCUUUCUUUCGUUCAAUUGUCUGAAUACUGUUACAGGCAACGUACACUGCGUAUAUAAUUGCCAAAAUAAUAGAAAAAGUACAUUUUUAAUACAUGAUAAUUUUAAUUCUCAAAAAAUAACAUGUAACCUGAAUAUAAUACAAAUUUUAUGUCAUCUUUAUGACGCGACUCAUUGCUGGUAUAUAGAACUAAGAAUUGAUUGCGUGGAUGAGAUUUUUUAAACUAUACCUAAUUUACCUAUCUGCUACUAACUUUUGAUAGCACACAAUAUUUUUCUGUUCAUAAUCUGUUAUUUAAUUUGUAGCGCUAUGCAUUUUAUGUGCAGUGUUUCUGAAAAAAUAUGUCGGAAUAUUUCCAAUUUUUCCUUAUACAUCAUAUAAACUGAAGACCAUUUUGUUACUAUGGUAGUUUAAUUGCAAUAAAGGAACAUUUUAUUUGCACUCGUGUCCAGGAAGAUUCUGUUCCUACUAUAGUAGGAAGAAUUUUAUUGCUUUGAUGCAGAGAGCUAAACAUGAACACCAAAUGUAAGUUUUAAUCCAACACACACCUAAUCCUAAACUCCUUUUCAACAUCCAUGUUUUGAUUGCGGUUUCAUUUUAUCCUUAAAAAAGAUAUGCUUAUGCUUUUAGAGAACUGAAUGUAAUAACAUUUUGAAAUAUUAAGGGACAUUUGUCAGUGACAAAUUAAUAUAAAGCAGGUUGAUCAAAGAAUGCAUGAUUUGUAAGAGUAUAGGUUGUGAAAAAUAAAUAUUUUGGAGCCUUUCCUGAUGAGUAAAUAGGUAAGAUUUCAUGUAUUAAAAAUUUACCCAGAUGAAUUAGAUAAGCAGGUGUCGAAAAUAAAUUUAUUUAGGUUAUUUCUAAAUCGUUUUAUCAGUUUCUUGCAUCUUUUAAUUUUGAUUUAGCAAUUUCCUCAUUUUCGCAAACGGUGCAGAAUUCAGAAAAUGAUGAAAAUAAAUGAGCAUUGUCUGUUUGAAAAACAAAUAAUGUGGCGACGUUAAACUGCUAUUUUAUUCUCGGCAGUAAGUUGGUUAUUGCUAAUAUAUGGUUAAAGGAUGCAAAAUACUUAAUCCAAAUAAAUUCAGAGGGAAUAAAUUUAAAACGUAAAAAGAUUGAAAGAUUUCGCUGUUUGCUGAUGUUUAUAAAAUAUUUACAUCCAAGUUUUAGCCGUGCGAUUUUAUUGUCACAUCAUAUUGAUAAAUUUAAAAGUUGAAACCAAGGUCCGAAAACUGCGGCAACAGAAAUUCUGAGAUUGCACCUAUGGACAUCGUUGUUAACCUGGAUAAUUUUUAUGGCUUGCAUAAUAUUUGCCAACUGGAGAUUUCUAACAGACAAAUGAUUAAGAGCUUGUUACAGGUAAUCGUUAUGAUAGAGGAACAUAUUACAAGCCGAGAUAUCCAAAUCCAAGACACAACGACCAGCGCGGCAGAGGACGUGGUGGAUAUUACAACAGAGAUUCAAGAUAUGAUAGGGACUACAGAGGAAGAGGUAGACCA